CAUUAAUGAAUUUUGGAGUUCUACUGUGCCUGCCGUUCAUUCGGAUGUGUGCACGUAGUCUCUAUAAAUCCUUAUCAACACCUGUGCACCUUUAAAAAGGGGGGAGUCUGAUUAAGCAUUUUAUGAUGCUUAUGACGAAUAACCUCUUUUCUUAUACAAACUCUUUUAAUGUCUAUUAGAAUGUUCUCUGGCCGCAAGGCUAUAAAAUAUAAACAACUUUUAACAACGGAUCUCUUGGCUCUCGCAUCGAUGAAGAACGCAGCGAAAUGCGAUAAGUAAUGUGAAUUGCAGAAUUCAGUGAAUCAUCGAAUCUUUGAACGCACCUUGCACUCCUUGGUAUUCCGAGGAGUACGCCUGUUCGAGUGUUAUGAAGCUCUCAAAACGCAAUUGGCUUAAAACCUGAUUGUUGUUUUGGAUUUGAACUUUGCCGUGUUACAACGGCUGGUUUUAAAAGCAUUAGCUGGUACUAGAACGAAUUGGUUCUACUCAACGUGAUAAUUAUCUGAUCGUUGAGGACAUUCCUUUCACGAGGAAUGGCCAUAGUAAAUUCAAUGGACUGCUUCUAACUUGGCUUUAAUUCUUAAUUGGAUUAACCACUUUUCAAAUCUGACCUCGAAUCAGGUGGGACUACCC
rnacentral:rRNA from 1 species